rnacentral:rRNA from 1 species
AACACGUAAAGAACCUGCCUCAUAGACUGGGACAACUAUUGGAAACGAUAGCUAAUACCGGAUAACAGCAUUAACUGCAUGGUUGAUGUUAAAAGUUGGUUUUGCUAACACUAUGAGAUGGCUUUGCGGUGCAUUAGCUAGUUGGUGGGGUAAAGGCCUACCAAGGCGACGAUGCAUAGCCGACCUGAGAGGGUGAUCGGCCACACUGGGACUGAGACACGGCCCAGACUCCUACGGGAGGCAGCAGCG